rnacentral:rRNA from 1 species
GAACGCUGGCGGCGUGCCUAACACAUGCAAGUCGAGCGAAGUAUAUCUGAGGGAAAUUUUCGGAUGGAACUUAGAUAUAUCUUAGCGGCGGACGGGUGAGUAACGCGUGAGCAACCUGCCUUUCACAAAGGGAUAGCCUCGGGAAACUGGGAUUAAUACCAUAUAAAACUUGUCUUUCGCAUGAAAGAAAAGUCAAAGCGAAUAAGCGGUGAAAGAUGGGCUCGCGUCCUAUUAGCUAGUUGGUGAGGUAACGGCUCACCAAGGCGACGAUAGGUAGCCGGCCUGAGAGGGUGAACGGCCACACUGGAACUGAGACACGGUCCAGACUCCUACGGGAGGCAGCAGUGGGGAAUAUUGGGCAAUGGGCGAAAGCCUGACCCAGCAACGCCGCGUGAGGGAAGAAGGUUUUCGGAUCGUAAACCUCUGUCCUUGGGGACGAAUAAAUGACGGUACCCAAGGAGGAAGCCCCGGCUAACUACGUG